GACGAACGCUGGCGGCGUGCUUAACACAUGCAAGUCGAACGGAAAGGCCCUGCUUUUGUGGGGUGCUCGAGUGGCGAACGGGUGAGUAACACGUGAGUAACCUGCCCUUGACUUUGGGAUAACUUCAGGAAACUGGGGCUAAUACCGGAUAGGAGCUCCUGCUGCAUGGUGGGGGUUGGAAAGUUUCGGCGGUUGGGGAUGGACUCGCGGCUUAUCAGCUUGUUGGUGGGGUAGUGGCUUACCAGGGCUUUGACGGGUAGCCGGCCUGAGAGGGUGACCGGCCACAUUGGGACUGAGAUACGGCCCAGACUCCUACGGGAGGCAGCAGUGGGGAAUAUUGCACAAUGGGCGGAAGCCUGAUGCAGCAACGCCGCGUGCGGGAUGAUGGCCUUCGGGUUGUAAACCGCUUUCGCCUGUGACGAAGCGUGAGUGACGGUAAUGGGUAAAGAAGCACCGGCUAACUACGUG
rnacentral:rRNA from 1 species